rnacentral:rRNA from 1 species
UGAUGGUUGUCCUGGGGUAAGCAUGUAGGGAGCGAGGUAGGUAAAUCCGCCUCGUAUGUAUCCUGAGAUGUGAUGCCGAGCCGAUUGUGGUGAAGUGGAUGAUCCUAUGCUGCCGAGAAAAGCCUCUAGUGAGUGUUGUGGCGGCCCGUACCCUAAACCGACUCAGGUGGUCAGGUAGAGAAUACCAAGGCGAUCGGGUGAACUGUGGUUAAGGAACUCGGCAAAUUGCCCCCGUAACUUCGGGAGAAGGGGGACCUCUGCUGGUGAUGGGCUUUACGUUCUGAGCUGGUGGGGGUCGCAGUGGCCAGGGGGAAGCGACUGUUUACUAAAAACACAGGUCCGUGCGAAGUCGUAAGACGAUGUAUACGGACUGACGCCUGCCCGGUGCCGGAACGUUAAGGGGACCGCUUAGCCAACGCGAGUUGGCGAAGGUGAGAACUUAAGCGCCGGUAAACGGCGGUGGUAACUAUAACCAUCCUAAGGUAGCGAAAUUCCUUGUCGGGUAAGUUCCGACCUGCACGAAUGGCGUAACGACUUCCCCGCUGUCUCAACCACAGACCCGGCGAAAUUGCACUACGAGUAAAGAUGCUCGUUUCGCGCAGCAGGACGGAAAGACCCCGGGACCUUCACUACAGCUUGACAUUGGCGUUUGGAACGUCUUGUGUAGGAUAGGUGGGAGACUGGGAAGCUGUCACGCUAGUGAUGGUGGAGUCAUUGGUGAAAUACCACUCUGGUCGUUUUGAACGUCUAACUCUGGUCCGUGAUCCGGAUCGGGGACAGUGUCUGGUGGGUAGUUUAACUGGGGCGGUUGCCUCCUAAAGAGUAACGGAGGCGCCCAAAGGUUCCCUCAGCCUGGUUGGCAAUCAGGUGUUGAGUGUAAGUGCACAAGGGAGCUUGACUGUGAGACUGACAGGUCGAGCAGGAGCGAAAGCUGGGACUAGUGAUCCGGCAUCGGCGUGUGGAAGCGGUGUCGCUCAACGGCUAAAAGGUACCCCGGGGAUAACAGGCUGAUCUUCCCCAAGAGUCCAUAUCGACGGGAUGGUUUGGCACCUCGAUGUCGGCUCGUCGCAUCCUGGGGCUGGAGUAAGUCCCAAGGGUUGGGCUGUUCGCCCAUUAAAGCGGUACGCGAGCUGGGCUUAGAACGUCGCGAGACAGUUCGGUCCCUAUCCGCUGCGCGCGCAGGAGACUUGAAGGGGGCUGUCCCUAGUACGAGAGGACCGGGACGGACGAACCUCUGGUGUGCCAGUUGUACCGCCAGGUGCACGGCUGGUUGGCUACGUUCGGAAGGGAUAACCGCUGAAAGCAUCUAAGCGGGAAGCUCGCCUUGAGAUGAGGUCUCCCACCCCGUGAGGGGGUAAGGCUCCCGGUAGAUCACCGGGUUGAUAGGCCGGAGGUGGAAGCACGGUAACGUGUGGAGCUGACCGGUACUAAUAGGCCGAGGACUUGACCU